GAAGCCUGGAGAGAUCCGGGUGUCGCCCGAAAGGGAACGGGAACACAGGUGCUGCAUGGCUGUCGUCAGCUCGUGUCGUGAGAUGGUUGGGUUAACGUCCCGACAACGAGCGCCAACCCUUGUCAUUAGUUGCUACUAUUUGGUUGGGCACUCUAAUGAGACUGCCGGUGACAAACCGGAGGAAGGUGGGGAUGACGUCAAGUCCUCAUGGCCCUUAUGGGUAGGGCUUCACACGUAAUACAAUGGCGCGUACAGAGGGUUGCCAAGCCGCGAGGUGGAGCCAAUCCCAGAAAGCGCGUCGUAGUCCGGAUUGCAGUCUGCAACUCGACUGCAUGAAGUCGGAAUCGCUAGUAAUCGCGGAUCAGCAUGUCGCGGUGAAUACGUUCCCGGGUCUU
rnacentral:rRNA from 1 species